AUGACAUGGACGCUGCUGGAGUAACAACAAUGUGAUUUCUGCAUUUCAACGGCCAUUUCUUGUGUUCUUGGAGCUGUUUGGUCUCAUCUGCCUCUCAGUAUCUCUCCAACACUAUAUUCUGUUGAAGAGUAAAACUCUCAGACUUUUACUUAGGAGUUAAAUUAUGGAUUGUGCACAGAACUCCUGCAGACAGAUCUCCAUCUUUGUUGGCGUUUCAGAAAUGAACAUUUUGACGCUUUGGACCCUGAUGCUGCACGUUAAGACUUUAGACUUUAUUGUCCCCAAGGGGAAAUUCUUUUCUACAGCACCAUUCCGCUUGACAACAACAAACAAAAAAAAUACACAUUCUACAAAAAUACUGUUCAACAUGAGUGUAGCUUUCACUCUGGCCAGAUCACCUUGGCCUUUUGUUAAGGGUUGCUAUGACACAUGGGAUCAGGCUUUUGCUUAGUCUAGCUCAUCUGCAUCUCAGUGUUCUAUAUCUACGUCCUGAGGGGAGGGGGGUGUGUUAUGUCCUGUUCUAUUAUAGUCGUGUAAUGGCUCUAUUGUUUAACUCUGUGAGGUUUGGUGUGGGAAGAUCGAUUCUUUUGGAGGCUGUGGUGGUUAUGAGUUUGGUUUUGUUGAUGGAUGGUUGACAGAUGGCUGAGAGUCUCUGGUGGCUUCUUUUUUGGACAUCCAUGGUGUGCUGGUCAAAGGUGAAUUUAUUGUCCCAAGGUAUUUAAAACUGCCCACUAUUUCCACUGCUUGGUUAUUGAUGAGGAUGGGCUGCUGGGGAGAGAGUGGAGUGAUGAUCAGUUCCUUUGUCUUCUUGACAUACUUAACGACACAUACAACAAGCUUAGACAGGACAUGUUAGGAGUCAAGCAGAGAGUGAUCUUGUCUCUGCAGAUGACUGAACCACAACUUGGAAAUGUGCCGGGACUUUGUGCAAACUGUCCAACGGCUUCAUCAAACUCUGUUUGUGAUGCUGCUAUAAAUACUCUUAGCGCCACUCGGCUUGAUUUCCGAGGAAAAUACGUCACUGCUUGGAUAUCUGUUUAUUUAAUCUCUCAGAGAUGCAGAUGUAAACACUGUUAUUCAAACUAGUGCUCAUUUGAAUAACUUGACUGGUUUCUGUUGGUUCAUGUCAGAGACUCCCUUCAGUCUGAUCCUUAAAUGACACUGCAGACACAGAUAUCAGGCAAGUGAGUAUAAAUUCUGUACACAUUUCCAUCUCCAAACCAAAUAAACUUCAAUGCUUAUUGUUUUUAUUCAUUUGCAGGUGUUGCCAUUGUCGUGAUCAAAAUUUUUGUUACUGUAACUAGUACCCUUAGAAGCACGAGUGAUUGCACCCUACACUCUUCCAUAGGUGGGUCAAAAACUGACCCAUAUAAGAGUCAAUGUGUUUUUAUGCCACUUUUGUCAUUUUGGUUGAGAAUAAUCAUUUGUAUUACUGUUUGCAUCUGAGGGUUAAGUUAGUAGAAAACGGGGUGAUGUCCAAAAGUCAAAAAUAGUUAAAGAUCAAACAUUCUUUUCAACAUUUUAAGCAAGAUUAGUGUGCUUGUAUUAUUAUUUUUAACAAUUUUGGAGUGAAUGAAAUGAGAGUCCAAAAGAGAUUUGAGCUCUCUGAUAACUUUUACCAAGGUCUCAGACUUUAUUUAGCUUGUCAGGGUUACAGUUUGUGCACAGUCAUCUUUAAAAGAGGUUUCAAAGCUUUAUAAAUACUCCUCAAACUUUGUGUCAACAAUCAGCAGACAUGGGCUUCUCAGAGUAGCUGCUUAGCACUGAAAUUAAAAUAACACCCAUAAAACAUAAGAUAUAAGAAGGUCGCAAAGAAUUUUCAGGUAGCUGUUUUUCUUGUAACAUAUUUAUGAAAUGGCAGCUAACAGGAAUAUAGGACCGAGAAACUUUGAGAGAAUUCAAUUCAAUUUUAUUUAUAUAGCGCCAAUUACAGGUCAAAUUGUCAGGGUUCCCUCCUCAGUCCCUAUUUAGAAUAACAAAAUAAAAUAAGUAAGAGACAGACACGAAAAAUGACCCGUUUUUUCAUUUUCUGAGACCGGAAGUGGUCAUCAGCACGUGUGGAGCCAAACGACAACAAGAUUCUCAGAGGGCGGAGCCAGAGAGCAGUGAUUGGUCAGACCAUAGAUAAUAUGGAAGACAGCGCGAUAGCGUAUCUAGUCUUCUUUGUAUGGUAGCAUCUCUGGCAGCUGUUGACCUUGUUUUUGGAGUAAAACACGGUGGAAGCUGAAUUAGUGAGGAUGACUCCUGCUCCUGUCAUCUCUAAGCUCCUCACACAUCUUUACCUGCACAUGAGGAAAAUCACUCUUGUAGAAUGCAGAUGUUCAGAGGGAGAUGAUGCCACAUCUGGUCCAGCUGAUGGAAGAUCUUGAAGUUCUCUGACUGGCCUCGACUGAAGAUGGUCGUCUCACUGGAUUUAAGGUUCAGAUGCUCAGUAACAAACUCCACCAAUGAGCCAACAGGGAAGCUUUAGGUUUAUUAAAUGUUGCUAUGAAGGUAUCGCUGUUUUUCUUUGUGAAUGCAAUGUGCUCCAACUGAAACUUGAAUUACAACUUAGAAGUAAAUCCUUCCAUCUGAAAGGAUUUAGUUGCAUUAAUAACCUCUUAACAUUCUAAUUUUUAUUCCAGUCUUGGUUGGAAAUAGAGUCUCUGUAUUGAUUCAGGUAAAAACUGAACUUCACAGCAUGUUGGAGCAAAACAACCAGAUGAAAACUGUGAUGGUGUUGGAUUGUCAGACCGUAAUGUUGCAGCUCAAAGCAGCUUUUCUAGCUCAGUUCAUUCUGACAUUCAGCUAUGAAUCAACACAGCAGAUGGUGAUCCAUGCUGUGGAAUUCUCUUAUUUAAAUUUACAUCAUUAUUAUAAUAUUUAGGGUCAGACCCUACAGUAUUGAGAUUAAGAAAGCAAAUAUUCUAUAAAAUGUAAAUACACUGAACUCAUUUGGAUAUAUUUAAGUGAGACUCUACAAUAUUAUUUGACACAAAUCAUUUUUACUCCAAACAUUUACUGGACUGAUUUAAAUAUUAAAAUCACUCCUUUCUAAUCCUCUGCUGUACGUUCAAACCUGAGGCCUUAAAUAGAAACACACAAGUAUCUGUUUGAAGGAACUUCUGCAGAGUCCUGGUUCCAGAACAUGAUGAUAGAAUUAUAGACAAACUUUAACAAAAGCUGCCUGAGAGUUUACAGGUUUUUAUGUUGGAUUUCUUCAGUAAUUUAAUGAGCGUUAUCAGCAAUAAUCAAGUGUUCAUUUGAUGAACUUCAUUUCCUAAAACAUACAGAAUUGGAGCUCAUAUCUUUGUCAGCUGUAAAGUUUCUGCUCCUUCAAAGUUCACAACACAAUGAAGUAAUUCCUAAAACACUCUCAAUGCUGGAGAGCAUUUGUGAUGCUGAAGCAGUGAUCAGUUUUUCUGUUUCUUCUCUGGAGAUGCACAAUGAGGGACGUCUGCAGAGACCGAGAAAGAGUCUCACCACAUCCUGACAUGAGGAAAAAGACUAUUGAAGACUACAAUGAGAAAAACUAUCAGACAGCAGACGACUGCAUUCAAGGUGAGCUCUGAACAUUUGAUCUGGAACAGGAAUUCAAUAACUGCAGCAUGAGCUUCAUUUCUGUCUGUAGCUGCUGAAUUCAUGGAUGAAUCAUCUGGCACUAGAGAGGAAGACCAUCAAACAUCCACGUCAGCUGAUGGAGGUCCAAGAGUCUCACCAAACAAACAACCUACAGAGUGAAGACCUCAAAUUUGAUUGGAUGGCCUCCUAUUCAGCCACGUGUGAACAAAUGCCUCUAAGCUGAUUUGUUUUCUAAAAUAAAUCUAGUUUGAGUCCUAA